UACGUAGGCAGCGAGCGUUGUUCGGAAUUACUGGGCGUAAAGGGCGUGUAGGUGGUUUCGUAAGUCUGGCGUGAAAUAUCUCGGCUUAACCGAGGCAGGUCGUCGGAUACUGCGGGACUAGAGGACGGUAGAGGCGUGUGGAAUUCCGGGUGUAGUGGUGAAAUGCGUAGAGAUCCGGAGGAACACCAGUGGCGAAGGCGACACGCUGGGCCGUACCUGACACUGAUGCGCGACAGCAUGGGGAGCAAACAGG
rnacentral:rRNA from 1 species